UACGUAGGGUGCAAGCGUUAAUCGGAGUUACUGGGCGUAAAGCGUGCGCAGGCGGUGAUGUAAGACAGGUGUGAAAUCCCCGGGCUUAACCUGGGAACUGCAUUUGUGACUGCAUCGCUGGAGUGCGGCAGAGGGGGAUGGAAUUCCGCGUGUAGCAGUGAAAUGCGUAGAUAUGCGGAGGAACACCGAUGGCGAAGGCAAUCCCCUGGGCCUGCACUGACGCUCAUGCACGAAAACGUGGGGAGCAAACAGG
rnacentral:rRNA from 1 species